rnacentral:lncRNA from 1 species
CGUUUGGGGAAGGAAGAAAAUGAUGUAUGUGAAGGUCAAAGGAUAAUUUUGGGGAGCUGAUUCUCGGGCUUGCACAGCACCUUUAAUCCCCUGAGCCACUUCGCUGGCCUUAUGCGGUCCUUCUGAAAGUCUCCCCUGCAUUUCUUCCUGCUCCAACUGUUUCCAACAUUCCACUUGACUUUUCCUUUCUCCGGCAACCUAACAGGCCCUGAGCGACUGUCGCUUUAAGAUCGCCUUCUUCCCCCCACGUGCUGUCUGGUUGGGCUGGCUAUGCUGACGCACGAUUGACGUCAAUAGCAGCUGCUGGAGUUUGGGCACGAGGAGAGAAGUUGGGAUGGGGGUUGGGAGGAGCGGAGCAAGAAGGCGAGUCAUUUGCAUUUAAAGGGGCCUCUUCCGAGUUAAUCCUCGCUUUAAAGAAAUUUGUGCUGGGCAAACUUUUUGUCCUAGGCUGGAGAUGGGGGCAAGAAAAUGGCGUGGUACAACUUGAGUUCAUGACAACGGGUUUCAGAUGUCCUUCCGCGGAAAAUGGGAAAUAGUCCGUCGAUGCCCAAGCUGAGAGCACGUGACCCGGAGGGGGUGGAGGCAAGAGCUGGGGGAGACUACUGUCGGGCUGCGCUCGUCUGCCCCCACCCCCACAUCCUGCCCACCCAACUGCAGCUGCCACCACAUCCUGCCCAGCCGGGGGCAGGGAGCUCCUGUGGGGGGUACACGGACUCGGGACCCACUCUAGCACCUCUGCCUCUCAGCUCCAGGGGCCUCUGCUCUCGUCCCCGCGUCUGGUCCGAGGCACCCUGGCUCUCAGCGUAGGGCACCACUGUGCCACACCGGCCUUGCGUCCGGCGGACUCCGCUAUCCAUCCCUCACCCCAACUCUGCCCUGAAGCGGAGUCGUAGGGCCCCAGACUCGACCCCUGUCCUUGGCUAACACGAUUAUCGAUGCCGAAAUAAGGUGUUCAAUAGAGUUUGCACAAUCCCAACUCACACAGCUGCGCAUAUACAUUUGCUGAGCGCGUUCCACGCCAGCUCUGCAUCCCCGCAGGAACUCAGAUGCUGGUGAGGAAAAGUACCUUUAGAACCCAAACCAGCAAGCCAGUGCGUCCGGAGGAGACAGGCGCGAAGGUGGAAGCAGCGUCCCACCUUCGCGCUGAGAAUACACACGCCCACCUGCUGAGGGUCCGGUUCGCAAGCGUAGUGGCAGAUGCGGGGAGAGAUUGGAGGGUCUUUGCUGGCAUCAUCCAAAAACUGGAGGAAGAAGGAUGAGCUGGUGGCUGAAUUGCGGGUGGAGGUGGAGAUUGAGAACUGUCCAGAUGGCGCAGGGGAAGGAAGGUGAGAGGAGGGCCUGCCAAGCAGCUAGCUCACCAGACUACCAGACUAGAAGGGACAGCAGGAGCACUUUUCCUAGGUUAAGGAAGGUGGAAGGGGGGUGCUGAAAGGGAUGGAGACCUGCGGGAAAGACCUUUCCAAGCACAGGUGAAUUGGAGAAGCCUGAGGAGGGGCGGAUAAAGGAGGGUUAAGUUUUGUUUGCCAGACAGCCUUGUGAAGAUGGCACUGCAGGACUCAACAUUCCAGGUCUAGAAGGCCCAGCCAACCAAUCAAAGCUCUGGAAGGCCCGCCUCAGGUUUGAGAUUGGCUAGGGCUGUGGUUGGCGGGAGGCUCACCAGGCAGAUCUAGGAGAGGUUGGGGAGGGGAUUCUGGGAAAGAAUUUCUUCUGGGCUUGGUUGUGUUUUGAGAAACAAUCCUCAGAUAGAGCUGGGCCAGAGGGUUCUCUAGCUUGGAUAGCCUCCAAGGUUGAGGCAGGUUGAAAACUCCUGAGGGCUUAGCUGUCCCGGGCCCAUCCUGUUUUGUUUUCCUAUGAGCUGGGACCCAGUGGUCUGAAG